UACGGGGGGAGCAAGCGUUGUUCGGAUUUACUGGGCGUAAAGGGCGCGUAGGCGGCGCAACAAGUCACUUGUGAAAUCUCCGGGCUUAACCUGGGAACUGCAUCCGAUACUGGAUGGCUUGAAUCCGGGAGAGGGAUGCAGAAUUCCAGGUGUAGCGGUGAAAUGCGUAGAUAUCUGGAGGAAUACCGGUGGCGAAGGCGGCAUCCUGGACCGGCAUUGACGCUGAGUGAGCGAAAGCUAGGGGAGCAAACGGG
rnacentral:rRNA from 1 species